rnacentral:lncRNA from 1 species
AUGUAGAAAAUAAUGAGGUUGACUCAAUGGAAUAAUGACAGUGAUCGAAGUUAUAGACAAAAUUUUUUUGGUAAUCUUUCGUUUUAACUCGAAAUAAUGUAAACACUGAAUCGGCCAUACAUACAUACACACACACACAUACAUACACACACAUACAUACACACACACACAUACAUAGAUACAUACACACACACACAUACAUGCAUACAUACAUAUACACAUACACCGAGUAAAAAAUUUCAGUUAUCUCUCUCUUUCAUACAUUACUCUCUCUGUCUCUUCACACACACUAACAGAAGUACUUCACUUACACAACAUACUUUCUGUCUCCCACACCCCAUCAAACACACACACACGCACACAAAACACAGACCUACGCACAGCUGUCUAAGUCACAAAAUAGCUUUCUACGUCACACUAAGAUAAUGCAGUUAAUUAUUUCAAAUGAAAACAAACAAUACGAUUGGUUAAAAUUCGCAGAUUUAAUCUACCCUUAAAGUUAUAAAAUACAUUUUUCUCAAAUAAACAAGUUGAAACUAAUGUUUUCUUUUGAGACACUCUACCAGUAUACGAAGUUUCAAAUUAUUUAGUUAACUAGAAAAAUCUGACAAAACAGGUCUUGGAAAUGAAAAGAUCCUUAUUAUUAUUAUUAUUUGUGUGAUUGUUGCUUUGUUUUUAUACGGUUUGUUCCAACUCUCACCCACAAGACCUCAAAUAACAGUUAAGUUGGACGUUUUACCGUGGUUGUUAUUUAUGAUUAGGAAUGAUAUGUUGUAGAGAAAGGCGACCAAAUACUAGGAAUUAAGGUUCCGUUAAAAAAUUUGUGGUAAUAUUUGCACUUUUGAAAAAAGCUUUAAGAGAAUCACGAGAACAACAUUUUGCAGUUCUGUUAAAGAAUCAUGAAAACAACUUUUUGUAAUUCUGUUACUUUUUGGUUUCCUGGUAUUUGAACAUAGUGUUUAGGGGUGUCAUUUGGUAUUAUGCCCAAAGUCCCAAUGAUCACAAAUACAGUUAUUGUUCUUAGAUGGUACCUUUUGGAGGCCUCUAAUUCAAAGUCUAUAUAUUUGGUUUUCAAUUUUUUUUUCUUUUUAACUGAGAUGUCGCAAUCUGUUGGAAUUAACAUAUCUAUAAACAACUAUGUUUUGUCAAUGCGAUUAUUUUCCCUACAAUAUUUGAUCUAUUAUUAUUAUUAUUCUGGCAGAAUCGCUAGCGCGCAGGACGAAAUAUUUAGCGGUAUUUCGCCCGUCGCUGCGUUCUGAGUUCAAAUUCCACAGAGGUCGACUUUGUCUUUCGUUCUUUCGAGAUCGAUAAAUUAAGUACUAGCUGAAUACUGGGGUCCAUGUAAUUGACUAGUCCCCUACCCCAAAAUUUCAGGCCUCAUGCCUUUAGUAGAAAGGAUUAUUAUUAUUAUUAUUAUUAUUAUUAUUAUUAUUAUUAUUAUUAUUAUUAUUAAAUACGUCCCGAGUUCAAAUUCCGUCGAGGUCGACUUUGCCUUUCAUCCUUUCGGGGUCGAUAAAUUAAGUACCAGUCAAACACUGGGGUCGAUGUAAUCGACUAUCCCCUCCCCUCCCAUAUUUCAGGCCUUGUGCCUAUUGAAGAAAGGAUUAUUAUAUUUUUUUAUUAUUGUUAAGGCGGCGAGCUGACAAAAUUGUUAGGACGCCGAGCGAAAUGCUGAGUUCAAAUUCCGCCGAGGUCGACUUUGCCUUUCAUCCUUUCAGGGGUCGAUAAAUUAAGUACAAGUUGAGUACUGGGGUCGAUGUAAUCGACCAUCUCAUCCCUAAAAUUUCAGGCCUUGUACCAAUAGUACAAAGAAUGAUUAUUAUUAUUUCUAUUAUUAUUAUUAUUAUUAUUAUUAUUAUUAUUAUUAUUAUUAUUAUUAUUAAAUACGUCCCGAGUUCAAAUUCCAUCGAGGUCGACUUUGCCUUUCAUCCUUUCGGGGUCGAUAAAUUAAGUACCAGUCAAACACUGGGGUCGAUGUAAUCGACUAUCCCCUCCCCUCCCAUAUUUCAGGCCUUGUGCCUAUUGAAGAAAGGAUUAUUAUAUUUUUUUAUUAUUGUUAAGGCGGCGAGCUGACAAAAUUGUUAGGACGCCGAGCGAAAUGCUGAGUUCAAAUUCCGCCGAGGUCGACUUUGCCUUUCAUCCUUUCAGGGGUCGAUAAAUUAAGUACAAGUUGAGUACUGGGGUCGAUCUAAUCGACCAUCUCAUCCCUAAAAUUUCAGGCCUUGUACCAAUAGUACAAAGAAUGAUUAUUAUUAUUUCUAUUAUUAUUAUUAUUAUUAUUAUUAUUAUUAUUAUUAUUAUUGAGAUAGUAGAUUGGCAGAAUUGUAAGAGCGUCAGAGAAGCUGCCUUGCAGUAUUUAUUCCAGCUCUUUACCUUCUACGUUCAAAUCCUGCCAAGGUUAACUUUGGCUUUCAUCCCUCCAGGGUCGAUAAAAUUAAAUAUCAGUCAAGAACUAGAGUCUAUGGUACAGGGUGCGGCAGAAAUACCUCCCACAUUUGAAAUGCUGACAAAAGUUUUUAAAAAAAUAACAACAUUUAUGAAAAGUUAAUUUUACUGUUACUCUCUUUACUCUUUUACUCUUUUACUUGUUUCAGUCAUGUGACUGUGGCCAUGCUGGAGCACCGCCUUUAGUCGAUCAAAUCGACCCCGGGACUUAUUCUUUGUAAGCCUAGUACUUAUUGUAUCGGUCUCUUUUUGCCGAACCGCUAAGUUACGGGGACGUAUACACACCAGCAUCGGUUGUCAAGCGAUGUUGGGGGGACAAACACAGACACACAAACACGCACAUACACAUAUAUAUAUAUACAUAUAUAUACGACGAGCUUCUUUCAGUUUCCAUCUACCAAAUCCACUCACAAGGCUUUGGUCGGCCCGAGGCUAUAGUAGAAGACACUUACCCAAGGUGCCACGCAGUGGGCCUGAACCUGGAACCAUGUGGUUCGUAAGCAAGCUACUUACCACACAGCAACUCCUACGCCUAUUUUUGUUUAAAUUAAUUUUACUGUUGUUCAUUAGCUUAAAUGAAAACAUCCUUGGCACUUGCAUAACUUCAUUAGCAACACAUAGGUGAAAGUUUAAAAUGUGGGAGGUAUUUCUGCUGCACCCUGUAUUAAUUAGACCGCCCCACCGACCCAUCAUCUCAAAAAUGUUGGCUUCAUCCUUAAAGUAGAAGCAAUCCUUAUUGUUAACUUCCCUUAUUUUUCUUACAACUAAAAUCAGAGAAUGCUGUAGGGCAAGGUGCUAUUGAUAAGCCCAAGCUGCAGCUCAGUUUUGAUUCUCAUCAAAACCACUUUACAUCAUUUAUGGUAUACUAAUUCCUUAGGAAGAAAAAGCAUAAACAUUACAGCAUCCCGCUCAAUUCUUAUAUAUAUAUGAAAAAAAAAAAGAUCUAAGGCCUCUGUAUCUAUGUAAAAAAAAAUUAUUAUUACAUCAAUGAGAGGAUAGAAGUUCAGCCGUUGUUCAGCACUAAGAUUAAUAGAACAUCUCUCUACAUCCACUGUUCAAAUACCUCCAGGGUUGACUUUGCGUUUCAGCUUUCCAGGGUCGAUGAAAUAAAUUUCUCAUUUUCUGGGGUCACUUCAAUUUAAAGUAAUCUCUUCUACAAAUUUGGGGGCCUUGUGUCUUUUCAUAAAAAAAAUUAUAAGAGAAGAAAAAAUCACUGUUGUUAGUUAGAAAUUCAACUUUAUGCAGCUGACAUAUGUUUUUUUCAGAAAACCAAACAAACAGAAAUGUCAAUAAAUAUACUUUAAAAAAAUAAUAAACAGAAAAUUCUCUCUUGUACUCUACACUUUGCAUAUCAAAUUUUGGUUGGAAUUACUAUUUCCAGAUAAGCUGUCAAAUAUAAUUAUUUGUUUCUAUUGUUGAAAAAUUCCCAAAAGACCUCAGAAGACAAAAGAAACGUGAAUAAAAAAAUCUGAAUCUAAA